rnacentral:lncRNA from 1 species
UACAGCAGCAGAGUUUGUAAGUGGUCAGCCUGGGGACAGUGACACUGGAGAUGCGCGUUCACAAGACUUCUCCAUUUUUUUCUUUCAGUCUUUGAUUGAAUACAACGUUGCCCGGUUGGAAUAUUAUCGCUAUUUUCCGAGGAAAGUAGCAUAAAAAUAGAUUUUAAACAGAGUUUGACAUGCUUCUAAGUACGGUAAUGUAAUAUUUAGACAUUUUUGGUCACGAAAUGCGCACGCGCGUUACACUUCGGAUAGUGACCUGAACGCACGAACAAAACGGAGCUAUUUGGAUAUAACUAUGGAUUAUUUGGAACCAAAACAACAUUUGUUGUUGAAGUAGAAGUCCUGGGAGUGCAUUCUGACGAAGAACAGCAAAGCAUCAGUGGACACACCAGACUCUCCUUUAUCAGUCAUACAAAGAGAAUGUUCUAAUACCUCCCAUCGAAAAGAGAGCUGGCCCAAGCAAGCACAGGUUAAACCUGAAGCAUGAGGACUUGCAGCGAGUGGUAAACUUCAACAACUACGCAGAGGAUAAUGCAAUAGUAUUACCAGGAUGCCACCCAGGACACAAACACUUUGGUGGAAAGCUGCUGCCAUCCCAUGUGACAAAAGCAGCAGUAUGGUGUCUCUACAAGGAAUCAAUGACAACACUUGGACAAUGACCCAACACACCUCCAGGCUGUGUAAGGGCUAUUUGACCAAGGAAGAGAGUGAUGGAGUGCUGCAUCAGAUGACCUGUCCUCCACAAUCACCCGACCUCAACCCAAAUUAGAUGGUUUUGGAUAAGUUGGACUGCAGAGUGAAGGAAAAGCAGCCAACAAGUGCUCAGCAUAUGUGGGAACUCAUUCAAUAUGGUUGGAAAAGC